CAGAGGAGGAGAGAGACCCCUGCGCUCUGUCCCGGAGUAAGAUGUGUGCGUCCUGCCGCACGAGGAAGACUCCUCUCUGGAGAGACGCUGAGGACGGGACGCCGCUCUGUAACGCCUGUGGCAUCAGGUAUAAGAAGUACCGCGUGCGCUGUCAGCAGUGCUGGAACAUCCCCAAGAAGGACGCGAACACAAACUCCACGUGUCUGAAGUGCGGUGACGUCCUGAAGCUGAAGCGCAGCAGCUGGUAGGACACUCAUAAACCGGCUCGCGUCCGCUGAAAGCGCUCCGAGCGGAGUCUCUGCUGAGAGUCUGUGGAUGAGAUUCUCUGGGUUCGUUAUUGUAAAGCCUCUGUUCGGUUCAGUGCUGGUAUAUGAUAUUUGACUCUUCACUUAUUUAAUUUACACAUUCUUCUUGUUUUGUGUCAACAUAUUUAUUGCUGAAUAUAUUUAUUGAUUUGUCACAGUCUCUCUGAUUUGUGUUUCCACCGGCUCUGUUUGUUUUCGGAGGUUUUCUGUGCUGGAAUGAAGUAUUAAAUUGUAUUUAUAGUC